GCGGGCAUAGCUCAGCUGGGAGAGCGGCAGAUUGAAGAGCUGAAAGUCCCGCGUUCGAUCCGCGGUCGUCCCA